UUUCAGUAGUGGGUAUUCUGGCUGCUAGUGUUCUUCUACUUCUCGUUCGAUACAGUUAUACAGGGUGAGCAUCUUCCAUAGCAGUUCGAAAAGUUCAACCCAUCCGGAACGGCGAGCCACGCGCCGGGUGAAAACACUUCUCAUGUUUGCCAACACACCAAGCCUUCCGGCGUAAGGUCACCAUCGUAUCCGUAGAUAAUUUCUGCAUUAACUUCACCGCAACCAAACGGGCGCUGAUUGUCGAUUGAGAGAGUCCAGGAAGUGUCAUACCAUUAUUGCAGUCUGGCGUCUGGCAAGAUUAAUGGCCAAUUUAUGAAGAUGGAAUUAUGUUCAUGUUGGAAUCGGAAUUACUACUGGAUUUGAACGAAGAAUUUAAAUCGACACUACGAAUUCUACGAAUCUUCCAAUAUCGCUGAAGGGGUUACCAACCAAUGGACAAUUGAUACAUGCCAUAUGGCCCGCUCCGUGCCAGCCAUUCCACAGUCGAUCAAUUUAUUUAUCAACAAAGAUAAUCCAAUUUAGUUUAAUGUCCCUUAAUGCACACCAUCGGAACACAUCUUAAGUGCAUCACCUCUCGAACAACCUCACAUUGAAAACCAGCAAACCACUUUCGACUUCCCUCGGAAACUGAUUUCAUUUUGAUACACUUGUCCCCGAUAUUAUUAUCAUUGUAAUAACAGUAUGAAGGUUUGCUCGUUCGCGUCUUGGAAGAGGGAAGUUUCACCCCUGCUAGAUACAUUUAGAUGUUAUCAAUCUUGUUUUCCCUAGAGUCGACGUAGUGUCACUUAGGGGACCUUAAAAAUGCCAUACACAGCAGAAAAUAUUUGUUUAGAUUUUUAAAUUUUAUUUUUAAAUUAAUAUAAUAAUGUCUUGCAUGAUUUGAAAAAUCUCCUAAAAGUCAUUGAACAAGCCAAGUAACCAAAUAUAAAACGCGUUGUUUUGGAGCAAAGUAAUAACUAAACAUUAGGGCGGAUAAAUUUUCGAUAGUUUUCAUUACCAAAAAUUCGUGUGCUUCUUCGAAUAAAAAUCGCAUAAAAAGAGAAACUUCACAUUUUAAGCCAAAAGUAUUAAAAUUUAAAGGGACUUUCUUUAGAGUCCGUGACUACAAAGCAAAGCCAUGCUGAAGGUGUCUGGGUUGG